AGGGCUUAAUUUUACACAUUCAAGUGAAUGAGGAAACAGCUCGUUGCGUUUUCUUUCUUCUCCUCUCGGUUGUCACCAUGAACCGUGUUUGGAUGUAAGCCAUUUUGACAGUUUCCACAACAAGCUGAGAAAAGGGCAGAUCAAGGAUAAAGAAGAAUUGGAAGCUGUCAUGAAGGAAGCCAGAGCGGUUUUGCCUCCCUGGUUGGAAUGUGAGCUUUUGAAUUCAACGGCAGUGUUAGCCUGAGGGAGGUGUUUCCCUGGCCUGAAACUGCCCGCUGAGUGGCAUCUUUCAUCAAAGUGUGCCCACACUCCUCACCGAUAAGUGGCCAUCCCUCACCUUUCACAUGAUGUCACAUGUUUGCAAUCAGAGUGGGCCUUUGCAGACAAAUUAGGGCAGUUAACGUCCACCGGAGAUCAGUGCAGAGGCGGGGAAGCUGUUGCUAAAUGUCACCAGAUGCGGCCUGAAGUGGAUCGGCUCACUUUUGCACAGAACCUUACAGUGUCCUUGAAUAAAGAUCUCAGAAAGAGGCUCGCGGCCAAAGAAAAGAGACACAUUCUUACUAAAUUGAUGUUUUUAUGGCUAAAAUAAUACUGCAGGUGCUGUUCAGUUUGAGCAAAUGUGUUUGUAGUAAUGUCAAAUUUUAAUUUUAAGCUCUUUAAGAAUAUUAUUUUAAUACAUUUAGCACAGUUUUUUUAAACCUUGAAUACACUUUUAUCUUUAUUUUAUCACGGAAAAAUGCAAACUUAUUUGUUCAUUGCAAAUAAAUUAAUAUUUAUUAUUUAAUUAAUAUUUAACAAAUAUUAAAUAAAUGAACAUUUUAGGUACAGUUGUUGCUCUCAUUGCUUUCUAUGGCUGAAAAAAAUCUUUAUUGACGGAAAUGUCCACAUUUAAUAAAGAAAAUAUGAAAAUAUGAUUGUGUAAAUUAGUAUUUAGAGAGUGUACUCUCUGAAUACUGGAAGGGUGGUAAAUGAUACCAGCAGAGUGGACCUGUAUGCACAAUAAUCUGAAGGGCUCAAUAUGAUUUUCUUAAUUUUUACAAGACUUAAAGAAGCUUUUAUGGAUGAUAUCUUAAUCGUUGUAAAUAAUGUCACCAAUAUUGAUUUAAAAAAU